ensembl:snRNA RNU6-403P RNA, U6 small nuclear 403, pseudogene
UUGCUUCAGCAGUACAUAUGCUAAAAUGGGAAUGAUACAGAGAAGAUUAGCAUUGGCCCCUGUGCAAGGAUGACAUGCAAAUUAGUGAAGUGUUCCAUAUUUUA